rnacentral:tRNA from 1 species
CGGGGUGUAGCGCAGUUGGUAGCGCGCUUGAAUGGGGUUCAAGAGGCCGUGGGUUCAACUCCCGCCACUCCGACCA